GCUGGGGUGGCUUAAACGAUAAUAAUCAUUUUAUCGUGGCGAAGCCUGGUAUAAUCAUACUGUCUAUAGUCAGAAUGCCGAGAGCGCGGGACUCAUAAUCCCGAAGUCGGGGGUUCGAAGCCCCCCCCCAGCA
rnacentral:tRNA from 1 species